CCUACGGGAGGCAGCAGUGAGGAAUAUUGCGCAAUGGGGGAAACCCUGACGCAGCGACGCCGCGUGGAUGAUGAAGGCCUUUGGGUCGUAAAAUCCUGUCAGAUGGAAAGAAAUGUACAUGUGCUAAUACCACUUGUAUUUGACGGUACCAUCAAAGGAAGCACCGGCUAACUCCGUGCCAGCAGCCGCGGUAAU
rnacentral:rRNA from 1 species